AUUCCAUCUCUACGUGCCCAGAGCUUCAAAUACAACCCUCCCAUCACAGUCAGACGGGCACAAAACUUCAACCAGCCGUUUCUCUGCCUGGAAGCGGCGAACAUGUAACCUGGACGGAAUCUUGCUCUGUUGCCCAGGCUGGAGUGCAGUGGUGUGAUCUCGGCUCACUACAACCUCCAUCUCCAGGAUUCAAGCGAUUCUCCUGACUCUCAGCCUCCUGAGUAGCUGGGAUUACAGGCACGAGAGAAGAUGAAGGGGAAAGGAGCGAACUCCAGAGUCUUAGAGAGGCAGUACGACGGGUUCUCGCACCAACCAGCACUUUCUGUGUGGAGUCUCACCUCUUGUAACCCUGAGUGCAAAAAUACCAGGAACAAGCUGACUUCCCACCUGGCAGAACAGAAUGCUAAACAGGCCGACCUCUUUAGGAAUCUGGUGAAAGCUACAAACCCUCUCUCUAGAAAAGCACACACAAACAUAACGUCUUGCAAUUCACUUUCAAGAGCCCCAGGUUCCCAUAAAGAGACUCAAGAACCUUGAUAGUAGAGAACAAGUUCCU